GGGCACAUCUGGAUGCAUUGGGCCAUUCCAUUUAAUGUAUACACCCCCUAUGGACGAGUUCAAUAAAAUUUGAACCCCUAAGAAAAAAAGAUCAAAGUGCUGACACCCCCCCCCCCCAAAAAUUUUUGCCUUAUCCCUCAGAAAAAGUGCAAAGAUCAAAGGAUGCCGAUGCACACAACCCCUCAGAAACGGCUUUUUCAACCCCCUCAGAAAUUCUAGUCCAUUGGGGGGGGGGGUGUAUAUUAAAUGGAUGGCCCAUUGCCACUUAAAGGGUUAAAAACGUAAAUACCACAGCACAACACUUGUACAUAUACAUAUACAAGUAAUACAACAGCAAUCCUUUUAUAUAU